AAUAACGGAGGUACCCAGUCGGGGUGCCAGGUGAUCCGUUACAGUGGUAGCAGCGGUGGGAUGGCGUCCUAGUGUGAGGAGAAGCAACUCUGAGACACCGGUAACGUGUGGAGUUACAACUAGAGGGAUAGAGAUAGCUACCGUGCAGCAUCCCUAUCGACAGCAACAUGGAGCAGGAGUUCCACUGGAGACUGCAGGAGCUCCUGUCCCUGCAGGAUGGGCCUAUAUCAGAAGAGGCCAUGAUGGACUACCGG